UGUGUGUGUCCCCUGCUGCUGCUGAGAACAGACCACAGGGUCAGUAGGACUGUACCCUCAGGAGUUUUCUGUCCAAGAAAAUACAGGGGAGAGAGCGGCCUGGACUACGGGGAUGGUCCCAGCAAAGCCCUGGUGUGGGGCAGAGGCGGCCGCGUGUCUGGGCUGUCCUCUCUGAGGUCCCGCCCACUUCUCAUCGUCCCCCUCCACUCCAGUCGUGACUGAAUUCUUCCCGCUCCACUGCCUCAUCCCUUGGUGCCUUGGCCAGUGGGCCUAGAAUGCUCUUCCCCCACGUCCCCUGCCUGGCAAACUCCUAGUUUCCUCAGCCUCUGUGCAGCAUCACCUUCUCUGAGCCCCUCACCAGACUGUCUGGAGGGCCCCUCCUCCGCUUUCUCCAGGACCCUGACCUGACUGUAAUACUGUAGUAGAUAUUAACACAUGUUAUCUUCACCACUCUAUAUGGAAACACUAGUAUCUUCAUCCUACAGAUGAGGUCACUGCGGUGCAGAGAAGUUAAGCAGGUUGCCCAAGGUCACACAGCUACUUCCUGUAUGUCAAAACACUCUUGUAAUUGUUUACAAGUCUGACUCCCUUCCCAUCUAGGAGGGUCUCCAGGCUGGCCUUCCCCAUCUGGCUUCAUGAUGCCUUUCUGGGCCAGAGUCCAAGGGAUGUUUGUCCACCAAAGCGUGCACACUGGCCCAUGAAACAAGCAGCCAUCCCGGAACCCCCACAGGUCAGCCGCCACACCAGUCACAGGACGUCGCCUCUGCUUCCCGGGCUGCUACCCUCCCUUCCUAGAGAGACAGGGAGGUGACAGCAGGGUACAGACUCCGGCAGCAAGAAAACAAACAGCACCCAGCUCCCCACCUCCCACGUUUCUCGGAACUGGCUGCCCUUCCGGCUCUCAGGCAUGAAGGAGUUCUUCGAAGAGGGACCAGGGAGAGGCAAGAAAGAUGCAGACAACACAGAGCGACAGUGGAAACAUUGACCCGUCCUCAUAAGCCACGUACUUCAUAAAUCAUGCAUCUUUGCCCAGAUGUCAGCCACCUUCACCCAGCUGUCACCAUCCAUCCUCGGUGCCCUCCUGGGUGCCAAUCCCACACCUCGGGUCAAGGGAGACCCUCAGCCCACGUGGCUUUCAUCCUCAGAACAGGCCAGCUCCCCCUCUCCUCCUUAGGUCCCCAGGUCUGUUUCUCGCAAUGGCACCUGCCCAGCCGGUGACUUCACAGGAUCCUUGCCCGUGGGCACGUACCACAGAGCCAAGCUGAUUUGACUGUAUUCCUCUGUGGGCCGGAUGUCCCCCUGCUCUUGUCUUCCUCUAUAUUCCUUACAGAUGCAUCAACAGCUAGUGGGUGAAAAUGCUCCACCGGCCCCUCCAGCCUCUCUGCAAACAUGUGCAAGCACACAGAGCCACUCACAACUACAAACACACAUACGCACCAGAGACGCACCCACAGGCUGCGGAGUUCUGAUUUCUCCCACUGCUUCUGGUGGCUCUGUUCUUUGCAUAGAGCUCUGCAAGGCCAGAUUGGGAUGAGGACCGUUUGGAGAACAGUACUCCAUGAGUCACGGAUGGCUUUCCUGGAAGCCACUGCCUCCAUAGACUCUGGAAAUAACAAGGGGCUCUCAGUCACCAGCAUCAGCAAGGCCACUGCAGCCACAAUCAGUCAGAAUUAGGUUAAGCCAACAACAGUGGGUUAAACCAGUGUUUCUCAAACUUGAACAGGCAUACAAAUCACUGAGGAUCUAGUUAAACCGUAGAUAUUGAUCCAGUAGGUCGGGGUGGCACACAAGAUCGUACAUCUCUAACAAGCUCCCAGGAGAUGCCAGUGCUGCUGGUCCUUGGGACGCACUUCGAAGAGCAGGAGCUUAAACAAGAUCGUUUAUUUCUCCCUCAUGUUCUUGAAGUCCAGAAGGAGUCAGUCCAGGGCUGGGAUGGCACUCCACGGUCUCAGAGACCCACUUUCCUUCUAUCUCGUUGCUCUACCAUGUGUGAUUUCCAUUUUCAAGGUGAUUCUCAUGAUGCAAGAUGGCUGGUGGAGCUCCAGCCAUUGCACUGCACUUUCUCAGAAAGCAAGAACUGAUAGAAGAAGUGCUUGCCCCUUGCCUGUAGGAAUACAUCGGAAUUUGCACACUUCCAUGCAUAUGCCUCUAGCCACAGUGAAGCCACAUGGCCUCACCUUUGUCCAUCUGCAAAGGAGCUGGGAAGUAGUCUUUUUUUGGGGCUAUCAUGUGCCCAACUGAAAACUGGAAGUUCAAUUGCUGAGGAAGUAGAUAAAGCACAUUGGGAGGCAGUCAGUAAUCUCCAACACACAGCAGGCUGAGAUGGAAAUGUGAGCAUUUCUGAACCUUUGCCGGCAGUGCCAGUUUUUUGUCUUCCGGGACCAACCAUGAGAGUGAGCCUGGGCCCCCACUGCUGCCCGCCGUCUCUCAGUCCACUUUAAGGCGAGUCUGGUAAUAUGACCAGCCGCACAUGCUGAGCUCGGAGGCUGCGUGAGUCGUGGCGAAGCCUGAGGCCCUGCGGGCAGACAGCCCAGGUUCACAUUGGUUCUACUGGUUAUUGGCUAUAUGACCUCGGACAAGUGACUUAAACUCUUUGUGCCUCUGUGUCCCAUCUGUGAAUGGGGACAACGCUGGUGUCUCUCUCCACGUGUUGGUGUGGGCACGAAAGGAGCAGAGGCCGCCGAUGAGCACCCAACAGACACCAGCCCUGGUGAGGAAACGAGGCCGCCCCAGUGCUCUUCACCCGCCCGCCGUGCACCACACCCUGUGUGCUCUGUGUGCGAGGAAGCGCCAGGAGGAGGCGGAGACCCAAGGCCGUCCUGGAGGAGCUGACAAUUUAUAGCUGUGUCUGACUCUGAAUGAAUGACCUUGGGGCUACACAGUGGAAGACCAGCCAUUUAUUUGGAGAGACUCUCAGUUUGCUAAGAAAAUUUCAGGAUGAUUUUCUUCCGGACUUUCUUCAAAUGAAUUUUUUGCAGAAGAAAUGAACCAAAACUCUACUGUGAUAGCUUCGUAUCGCCUUGGCGAGGUGGAACUCCAUUCUCCCGAAUUCCUUUUCUGGCCUGUUUCUGAUUAGGACUAUACAAGGCAGGUUCUCAGGAGCGAGUGGGCAGGAGGAAGGGAGGCAGCGGGCAUUCUGUAGCACGCGCUUGGUCAACACACAGAGCACUCCUCUGCCGACCCAUGUGAAGCAGCACAGGCACAGAAGUCGGUGUUAGAUGAAGAGCCCGGGGCCCGGCGGGAUUCCCUGUCACCAAGGUCGGAGGCAACGGGAGCAGACACGGGUUUCCAUCCAUCCUUACAGAGUUCCAGCACCUGCUUUUGGAGUCCCAGCCUGCUCACCAGCCUCCCUUUUCGGACUGCUACCCUGGGGACUUCAAGCUCCAACAUCAGACGUGGAGGCAUCCAGCCAGCCCUCCAACUGGCCAAUCCCCUGUAAUAACGAACUGUUUAUUUCUCUAGUUUUCUAUCUAAAAUCUUGCCCUCUCCCACUGGUUCUGCUUCAGGGGCUCAGUGGAGACCCCUGACUCGUAUGUGUACUGUCAGAAAGGCAGGGGAACUGACCUGCCAUCCAAUCCCCUAUUCACAGCUGGGAGAACGGCGGUCCAGAGAGGCAUGCUGCUUUACUCAAGGUCACGCUGACAGCCAGUGACCAAGAAGCCACCAGAACCCGCACCCCCAGUUCCUGCGCCAGCGCUCCUUGUGCAGCCGUCUCCAUCAAUGCUCACACAUUCCCACCACAGAGGCUUUCUGAGACCCUCCUGCUGUCCGCUGCCAGGCCAGGUGUGGGGAUUUCGGGCCACAUCACAUGAGGGUCCUGCACUCGAUCUGCCCACAGUCUAGUGAGGAGACAGGUAGGUCUGUAGAUAGCGCUGACAUGCGGUCGCAAGUGCCCAGGUCAGGGGACAGCGAGCAUGGAAGCCUGUGGGCCCCAGAAGCCAGCCCCUCAUGAAACAUCAGAGGGAGGGGAUGGGUGGGGCAGCCACGAGAUACCCAACGCCGAUCUGCUCUGAGGAAACUCUCGAAGAGCUCUUCUUGCACACGGCCCUGGAAUGAAUCUGUGGACCGAGAACGUCCUGCAGUGCCAGCCCUGAACAGUCUGGAGGGGGGGGGGGAGGGGGAGGAUGCUCCCCUCCGUGCCCACUGGCCUCCCUGCUGCCCUCUGCUCAGCGAUGGCCGGAGGGGCAGGCAGGGCCGGGGCUUGGCGAGUGUCUGGAUCGCCAGUGACCAGCACAAUGACGACACAUAGUCAGCCUCUAGAAGGGCUCGUUGACCAAAGUGUGUUGCCGAUGCCUCACAGAGCAGUGUCCAGGGCUGUGCGAACCCCUCCCAGGGGCAAGGCCUCAGGCAGAGUGGAGAGGGCGGGGCCCCUUCAGAGCCGCUCCCGGCUCCUCCCUUCUCAUCAGUUCAUUGCAGAGGAGACAGAUCCUCAUCACCAGAGGGGACACGCGGAAGCCAUACAGGACACCACCCCUGAAGUGUUACAAACACCCUGCCUGGCCUUCCUAAGUCCUGCAGCCCUGGCCUGGGGACUCCCAGAAACACAAAGACCAGGGAGCGGCUGUGCUCACCAGCCCAGGGCUCACGCCGACGUGCUCUGGAGAACAAACUGCGCUGGUUUGGUGACCGAGGUGGGGAAGGAACCUGGCAGGGUGGGUGGCAGCGGGGAGGAACAGGACUGAAGCCACUUGUCCCUGUUUGCUCAUGGAUGAGCCAGAAACCCUCUGAACUUACUGGAAGGCUCCUGGGACCUUGUUUUCCUGAAACGGUACAAAAACAGGUUGGACCUCUCCAAUGUUUACUUGAGGACGUAAUUACUUAAGUACGAGCUGGGUUGCCUGGCAGGCUGGCAGAGGUAAAGGUGGGGCAGAGGCAUCUGCUGCUCACCUGGGCCUGAGAAGUCCUAGGAGGUGCGCGGCCCAACCCAGGACAGAGCAACCCGGAAGAGACUGAGUUGCGGCUGGAAGAGUCCUGGCGGCGGAGUAGGACAGAGUUGGUAGGAAUGCUGUGUGGCUCUGAGCAACUUACUUAACCUCUCUGAACUGCUGUCUUCAUCUGCUAAGUGGAAAUAGCAAUACUUCCCUUGCUAGGUGGUUGGAGGAUUGGCAGUGGUUGCCUGGCAGCCAGCAUUCAGGCAGAGGCUGUUGUUAGUAACAAAGUCCUCAUCUGGUGUUCUGGAGGCCCAGCCACCACCCUCAGUCUCCUUCACAAAUCGAUUCUAUCCCAGCAUGUACUCUCACUGCCGUGCGGCGGUUCCCCCCAGCCUCGCUGCUCCCAGACCUGAACAGCACUGCUUCAAGGCAUCAGGCGAUGUGGGUUGGCUGACACGAAAUGGCCACUGAGGCUGUGGAAACACUCGUAGGUGCUGGGAAAGGGUUCUCCCAGUUCAGCUCUGCCUUGUCAUGACUCAGCUUCCCUCUGCUCUUGUCUUCCUAAGCUCCCAAGGAGCCGCGUUUCUGCCCUGUGCCCUGAGGGCGUCUGGCUGCCUCUUUCAUCGGUCUCUCAUGACCGUCAAGGCUUUGCCGCUUGGCCCCAGUGCUGUGGCUUGGAAAGAAAUACAGACCUUGGUGCACUGAAAUUCCUGGUGAGGCUCAGGGCCACGCAGACGGCCCUGAGCAUGUUCAAAUGUGUUUUUAGGUUAACAUCAAAAUGACAGCACCCCAUUUUUAAAUUUUCAAGAAGAUGCUGCUCCCAGUCUGAGAAAGUCUGGACGGGGGUCACCAGGACCUGGCGCAGUCCCCCCAGCCUCUUCCUCACGUGUGACGCCUCUUGUUGCUGACCCUCCGGGCUCACAGGAGGAGCGGUGGGUGUGGACCCAGAGCCCUCAGCGGUGGCUGGAGGUGGACCGCACACAGCGGCUGGAAGCUUUCCUCCUCCCUGUCUCCAAGCCCUUCACAAUGACAUUGCAGCUCCCUCCUCAAGGGGCGGGGCGCCUGUUCCCUGCCCUUGAUCCAGGUGCGCCUGAGGCUUGCUCUGACCAGAGAACGCAGUGGACGUGAGGGUGCCGGGUCUGAGCCAGGCCCCUGAGGCUGGUGGGCUUUCCCUCUCUCAUUCGCCCCUCAAUUCCUCCCUUUAAACCCAGAGUCCUUGGUUUUGGGAAGGUGGCUCAGGUCCAGAGCUCCUCCCACGAGGGGAAAGCACCCUGGCACCGUGUCGAGUGGAGAGAAGGUACAGAGCGGGGAGAGACACAGGAAGUCUGCAGGCCUCCUGUCCCCAGGGGGGAAAGGAUGCAGAGGCUGACCGUGCCUGCCUCCUCGUUGAAGAAACUCCAGCAAGCUGGGAGACUGAAAUUACCUGCUGGCCUCAGCGAAGCCCCAGGACAAGGACAGCGUGCCUUGUCCCCUGCAUGAUGGCCGGGCAGGGAAGGCUCCUCUGGUAGCAGCUGCUGUCAAACUGUGUCAUUCUGCAGAAGGGACACUCCAAGCUCAUAGAUGCUAUGCCACGUCCUCAAGCCAAGAGGAAGCAAAGGGCGGGCUGGGGCCAGCUCCCGACCAGACGUUCUCAGCCUCUAUCAGGACAUGUGCGGCCCUGCCUCCCACUGCUCCCUACAAAAUCCAGAUCCGCUCACAUCUGAGAUUCUCUCCUAAGGGUGGAGCUCCGUGAGAGCUGCAGUCAAGUCUGCUUCACUUCUCCAUGUUCCUGGUGUCCAGCACUCCGUCUGGCCAGAGGAGGAGCCGGGGGGGGCUCUGAGGGAGCUUUCCCGACUCCCUCCCACCGAGUGCAGGCUCAAAGUCUUCUGUCGCAGCAUGUGUACCUCUCUCAGGCAGUACUUUAAGCAUGUGUAUAAGUGAGUAUUCAUAUACAUAUGUGAAUAUUCCUAUGUAUGUGUGUGUGUGUGCGCACGCCCAUCUUUGUCUACUGGAUUGUGAGUUCCUUCAUGACAUGGGCUGUGAGAUAGAUGCUAGAGAGAUAGAUAGAUAGAUAGAUAGAUAGAUAGACAGAUAGACAGACAGUGGGUAGGUAGAUGGAUAGGUGAGUGGGAGGAUAGACGGAUGUAUAGGUAGACAGACCCAACCCUCCAUCCCCUCUGACUGGGAGGGUGAUUUAUUCGUAACGGUCUCAGCUACUGUGGGAGGCAGGCAGGCAGGCAGAAUCCAGGACAAUCCUUGUCCCGAGGAGAACAGAGGAGCUGGGGGAAGACACUACGCAGCGAAGGCUCAGGGCUUGAAACUAGAGGGCCCAAUGUGUUCUUUGCCAUUCAGUUUCUCUGAGCUUACGUUGUCCUCUCUGUAAAAAGCAAAUGAUAACAGCAGGGUCUGCCUCUCGGGGAUAAAUGGAGCAUCAGCAUAAAAGAAUAUGCUUCAGAGGAACACAGAGUGGACAGGCCCCGGGCCUUGAAUCAGGCAGAGACGCUCAGGUACCACUGGAUGCGGAGGAAACUGCUUGACCCCCCCUAAGCCUCAGCUGCAAACUUGGGAGAGGAAGUUGCCCCUUGUCGGGGGUCUGUGACUGUGAAACAAGGCUCCGUAUGUGGAAGCAGGCGCUCAGCAGCGAUGGCCACCAAUGCUGCUGCUGUCAGUAACCUACUUCAGAAGGCCUGGCCCCGACCACUCGCAGUUUGCAAGGUCAGAGAGAUGCUGUGGAAACACCAGAGCGUGCAGGGCGCAGAGAAGGCGUAUGGUGACAAAGGCUCCCACAGGAGAAUGCGGGGCUCAGGGAGGACCGGAGUCAAGGAGAGCCCCUUAGAGGAGGUGGAGAGGCCGUGGGAGGAGAACCCUCCUCCCCAGACUCCCGAUAAAGGAGAGGUGUGGGAGGAGAGGUGUUGGCAAGGCGAGAAGAAGAGAGAUGUUUUAAAAACAAAAAAAAUGACAGUUCUUGGGGAAUUGCCAAUAUUUACUAACCUGUGGGCAUCUUCCCCCAGGAAGGGGCUGGGGGCCGGGCUGCUGGAGACAGCUGCUCACACAAACAGCGGAGGGACCUGGCUUCAGCUGUGCGUGUAGACCUGGACUGGGAACCGGAUCCACAUGAUGGUGGGAAAAAACAGUCUGGGGGCUCCGCUGCCCUGGGCAGCUCAAAGCUGGCACAGAGAGCCGGGAGGCCCGGGGUCCCGGGUUCUCCCGUCUAGUUGGGCCUCUGGUUCCUGCCGGCCUGAGAUAAUUGGCUUCUCUCUGCCCACCUGUCCAGGUUGGGAGCGCCCAGCUCCACCUCCUGUCCUUGUGUUGGGAGCGACUGUCCUGUCUGCUCGGCCCUCUCAGAGAAACUGGCCACCCUCAGUCCCUCUACCAAAGCCUCCAGGGCUUGAGGAGAGGCUGGUCCUCCUCACCCACAUUCCCUGGCCCGUGGGCCAGAGUUGAAGGGACCAGGGAGGGCCUGACCCAGGCAGCUGGUCCAAAGGUGGCCGGUACCCAACAGUGGCCAAUUAGAUGCUCUUUUCCAUGGAUCUGAACUUGGAAAGAAUUUUCAAGGUCUCAGAGGACAUGAAAGGAGUGGCUGCCUGUGCAGCAAAGGGCUGAGUGCGGGGGCAGGGGGGCUUGCAGAGGCUUUCUAUGGUAGAAAAGAGAGUGGAAGACGAAGAGGUGCUGAAGGAGGCAGGAAGGAAGGCGAGGAGGAGAAAGAGAGAGACCAACCACCCUAAAAUCCCCCCAGAGGGUCCCAGUAUCAGUCCCCACAAAUGCUUCCACUAAAUCCUAUGCUUCUUUUAUUUAUGGACUUUAUUUUUUUUCAUUUUUUUGGUGAGGAAGAUUGUCCCUGAGUUAACAUCUGUUGCCAAUCUUCCUCUUUUUUUUUUCCUCCCCAAAGCCCCAGUGCAUAAUUGUAUAUCCUAGUUGCAAGUCAUUCUAGCUUUUCUGUUUGGGAUGCCACCACAGCAUGGCUUGAUGAGUGGCAUGUAGGUCCAUGCCCAGGAUCCGAACUGGCAAACCCUGGGCUGUCAAAGCAAAGCAUGUAACCUUAACCACUUGGCCAUGGGGCCGGCCCCUGGACUUUAUUUUUUUAGCCUUUUGUAUUUUGAAAUAUAUAGAGAAAUACACAUAAAAAAAUAACCAUAGAGCUUAACAAACUAUCAGUGAGCUAAAGUAUAGGCCAGUUCGAGAAUCGGGAUUACAGCUCUUCUAAAGCUCUUUCUCUCUCCACCUCCUUCCCCCCAAAGUUGGCCAGAAUCAGGACUCAUGGCUUUUCUUCAUAAUCUUAUACAGCCAGCUAAGCAUGUGACCUUAAAGACUAUGGUUUAAUUUUGCCAGCUUUUAAACUUGACGUAAAUGGAACAUACCUACGUGUUCUUUUGAGUUCAGCUUCUCCCAUUUAAUGUAACAGUUUUUGAGAUUGAAUCACAUGUUGCCUGUAGUUUAGAUCACCGGUUCUCAGUGCUGUAGAUUACUGCAUGGUACACCACACUGCUAUGGUCGCAUCCAUUCUGCUAUGGGCAGACACAAAUAACUCUCCCCGGCCUGCCACCUGUGUCCUUUAGGUGUCCUGAGAAGACCUCUGAUUUUUACCACCAAUAAGCAACUUGAACAUGGGGAAACAGCACUCGACUUGAAAAUGGGGAAAUCCAGAGAAAUCUGAGUCCUUAUUAGGGACUGGAUCCUGGACCUCUCAGAGAACAGAGGUUCAGAUUCAUUUCACUUUCUGGGCCAAGAAAUCAACACAGAUUUUUUUGAGCAUACAGCGUCUGAAAGGAAAGGAGGGCAGGCCCCGAUGCGCAGGAGGCCACGGAAUACGGUGCCUCCGGCUCUGGGAGCGGAGAGGACUGCCAGGAGGAAGCAGUCUUUGGGAUGGUCUGAGAAGGAGAAUUCGUUCAGAGUAAACUGGAAAUUAUUUGAUUCAGUCUUUUGUACAGAAACCCUCCCAACGUCUGAGUCUCCUGGCUUCCUUGUCUCCCUAAGCCAGGUGGGCAUGGGGACCUCCUCCAUCCCCGUCCAAAGUAGCACCUGGCUCACACCUGUGUGGACGUUGAAACACACUGUCUGAACCUGGAGAGCAAUGGGGACCAGUAGGAGGGGAUUGCACAGGACAGGAGCUUGUCACAGAGCAGCCUCAGGAUGGAAGGAGAUGUACGAAACAAACAAGUGACCCAACUUCCCAUAACAGCAGGAGUUCUUGUGCAUGGGCACCUGGGCAUCGGGCUUCCAGUGACGGGAACCAGAGCGUGGUCCAGGCAGAAUAACGACCCACCUAAACAGUCCACGUCCUGAUCCCCGGAACCUAUCUGUUGGAUCACUCACUCUGGGGGAAGCCGUGUCAUGAGCAGCCCCAUGGAGAGGUCUUUGCGGCAAGGAACUGCUGGCUGGUGCCGACAACCACAUGAGUCAGCUCGGAAGUCAAUUCUCCAGCUCCCGCUGAGCCUUGAGAUGACCAUGACUCUGUCCCACAGCUGGACACAACCUGAGAGAUGCCGAGCCAGAACGCCCAGCUAAGCUGCUCCUGAAUUCCUAACCCUCAGAAACUGUGAGAUAACAUUGUGUUGUUUGAAACCAUUAAGUUUUGGAGUAAUUUGUUAUGCAGCAAAAGUAAGAAAUAUCGGAAAUCCUUUUCCUUCACAGUUUUGAAAGCUUUGCUCUAUGGCUAAAGCUCUAGCUCUCCAGCGUUUCUGUUGAGAAAUCCAAAACAAUUCUGAGCCCGAUUCUUUGAACAUGACCCAUUUCCCCUGGAAGUUGUGGCACGUUCUCUUCAGCCCAUCUGUUCUGAGACUGGACAGUCAUUCGUCAUGUUGCGUCUCCAUGUUCCAUUGUGCUGGGCCCCUGGUGGGCUGCUUCAGUGUAGAAAUUCAUUUCUUUCACUUCUGGGACUUUUCUUGAAUUAUUUCAUUGACAAUUUACUCCUCUUCAUUUUCUCUAUUCUCCAUUCCUAGAAUUCUUUUUGUUCAUAUUUUGGAUCCGCUGGACCAGUCCUUAUUUUCUUACUCACUGCCCUCUUUUCCUCUAUUUUCCAUUUCUGUGUUUUUUGUCUUGCUUUCUGGGUCAUUUCUUUAUCCUCCAAUCUUUUAGUAAAGCUUUUUAUUUUCGUUUUUAUUCUGUGUUCUCUUCUUUUGUUGUUUUUACGGAGUGUUCCCUUUUUAUAGCAUCUUGUUCUUAUGUCAAGGAUGCAGUAUCUUCUAUUAUCACUCUAGAAAUAUCAAUACUAGAGUUUUAGGGGAACUUUUUGGUUUGUUUCUUCAAAAGUCUUCUUCCUCUGCAUAGUCACUGUCUUUUCAAGUUGUUUUCUCUUGUUUAUUUUCUUUGAUCUCUCUCCUUCAUGUGGAUGUCUGGCAACCUUGGUUCCUCUGUUGAUAUUUAAGAGUGGAGCACUAAAGAAUUGACUGGAAGCUCUUAGGCUUUAGGGGGUUGAAUUUGUUCCCCUGAGCCUCACCUUGGGUGAUGUGGAUGGACCACUGUGGAUGGACUGUUGGCCCUUGUUCUGGCUGUCCAUCACUGUGUCCAAAGCUUUGUGGCUUCAAACUACAGCACUGGAAUUGCUCACCAGUGUGCCAUCAGGACAGUGCUCAGUGGGGACAGCUCGUUUCUGCCCCAUUCAGCAACAACUGACAUAGCUUGAAGGCUGGGGGAUGAAGGCUUGCUCACUUGUCUGGCAUCUGGGCUGGGGAGACCCAAACAGGUGGAGCUCACACAGCUGGGCCUCCUUGGGCUUUUCUCCAUCUCUGUGUGCUCUCUCCAGCAUGGUGGCUCCAGGGUAGGUACAUUCCCUACAUGUUGGCUCAGGGCUCCCAAAACACUUGCCCAAGAGAAACAGCGAGCCAGGGCAGAAGACGUAUCACUUUUUAUGACCCAGCAUUGGAGGUCAUAUCAUUUCUUUCCCUAAAGCAGUCACAAAGGCCCACCCAGGCUUAAGGGAGGGAGAAUAGACCCCACCUCCUGAUAGGAGAAGUGUCAAAAUUCUGGAAGAGCAUAUGAGACCGGAGAUAUUGUUAUAGCCAUUUUUGAUACAAAGUAUCAUAAUACUUAAGUACACUGUGUGCUAGAAAAUUCGUUGUAUUAGUUCCCUAUUGCUGCCAUAACAAAUAAUCACAAGUUUAGUUCUUUUUUUUUUUUAAACUCUGACUUUAUUUUUAUUUAUUCUUUUUUUUAAGAUUUUUAUUUUUUCCUUUUUCUCCCCAAAGCCCCCCGGUACAUAGUUGUAUAUUCUUCGUUGUGGGUCCUUCUAGUUGUGGCAUGUGGGACGCUGCCUCAACGUGGUUUGAUGAGCAGUGCCAUGUCCGCGCCCAGGAUUCGAACCAACAAAACACUGGGCCACCUGCAGCGGAGCGCGUGAACUUAACCACUUAGCCACGGGGCCAACCCCUCUUUUUUUAUUUUUUAAAGAUUUUAUUUUUUCCUUUUUCUCCCCAAAGCCCCCCGGUACAUAGUUGUAUAUUCUUCGUUGUGGGUCCUUCUAGUUGUGGCAUGUGGGACGCUGCCUCAGCGUGGUUUGAUGAGCAGUGCCAUGUCUGUGCCCAGGAUUCAAACCAACGAAACACUGGGCCGCCUGCAGCGGGGUGCACGAACUUAACCACUCAGCCAUGGGGCCAGCCCCUAGUUCUUUAAAAACCACAAAUUUAUUGUUGUACAGUUCUGGACUUCAGAACUCCAAAAUGGAUCAGAAGUCCAGUGGGCCAAAUCAAGGGCUUGGCGGAGCCACACUCCCUCUCGAGGCUGCAGGGGAGAAUCCAUUUCCUUGUCUUUUCCUGCUUCUAGAAGCCGCCUACCUUCCUUGGCUUGUGGCCCCUUCCUCCAUCUUCACAGCACAUCACUCCAACCUUUUCUUCCAUUGUCACCUGCAAAGUCCAUUUUGCCCUGUAAGGUCCCAUACUCACAGAUUCUGUGGACUAGGAUGUGGACAUCUUUGGGGGGACAUUAUUCUGUAUACCAUAAUCAUGCACGUGGAGCCACUCAUUGCCUAGUGAUUUUGCAGUUAAUCAAUUAGUGAUUCGUGCGUAUCUUUCACACCUGGCAGAGUGCUCCAGUGGACACAAGCACCCUUCAUCCUUAUUCCUGGAGUGCCUUAUACCCUCCAGCUGGAAGCUUCCUUUGCAAGGCACAACCCAACCCUGGGUUUGCAGAAGCUCCUGACUGGCAUCAGCUCUAAACACCUUCCUCCUCAUACAUCAGACGGCUCGCUGAUCCCAGAAUUCUGAGCAAAUACAGUUCCACGUUCUCUUGCGAGCCUUCCCCAAUGCAGAGAAGCUAUCUGACACCAUGGAAAGAGCUCAGUUCAUACGUCUGGUGAAUACUUGGGCAACACUCUGACUCUCUCUAGACUUCAUUCCCCUUGGCUUUAACCUGGGAGGUGACACAGAUGAGAGGAGACACGUGAUCAGAGCCAAGUCCCACCUGUGUUUAAACUCAACUCGGUAGAUAAGCUCCUGAUGGACAGGUCAGAGAGGUGACAGUACAAGGGAGGCAGACGGAGUGCAGCAGGACAGGAGAGAGCCUUUCAGGAGCACGCUGCCUAGUAUCCACCCGCCGGGCUUCAGGCGGGCUGGGCCGCUCCCACGGUGCAGCCCCACCUGGACUCUGAAGUCCUGACCUCCCAUGCUCACCUCGCCACCUCCCACUCUUCCAGCCCUCCGCCACCUACUAAGUCUGCUCCUCCAGCUUGUCAAGGACGCUCAUUUCAUCUUUCUUUUCUAUAAUGAGAAAUUUCAAAACUACAGAACAGUGUAGAGAGCAAAAUAGCACACAUCCAUUUACCACCUGCUCGGUAGUGAUAAUUUUAACGAAGUUUGCUUCCAAUUUUUUUUUAAAGGCAUGAAAGCCUACAGGUAUAAUUGAAGUCCCAUGUGUUUGCCUUCUCAGUUCCUUUUCCCUUCCUAAGCUUAAUUAACUCUUUCCCUGCUAGAGGAAAGCACCAUCUCGACUUUGCUGUGUCCACGGUUUUAUUCUUCCCACACAUGUGUUCACCCAUAAAUAAUAGAUAACACCAUUCUACGUGUUUCAAAGAUUACAGACAUGAUCCAAAGCUACGUACAAACUCAAUGCAAUCCCUAUUAAAAUUCUAAGAGCAUUCUCCACAGAAAUGGAAAAGCUGAUCCUCAGAUGCAUAUGGCAUUGCAAGGGACCUCCAAUAGUCAAAACAAUCCUGAAAAAGAAGAAUUAGGUUGAGGACCCCACACUUUCUGAUUUCAAAACUUACUACAAAACUACAGUAAUUAAAACAUACUGGCCUAAGGAUGAUCAUAUAGACCAAUGGAAUAUAAUAGAGAGCCCAGAAAUAAACCCUCCCAUGUAUGGUCAGUUGAUUUUUGAUAAGGGUGCCAAGAUCGUUCAGUGGAGAAAGGACAGUCUUUCUAACAAAUGAUGCUGGGAAAACUGGAUAUCCCCAUGCCGAAGAAGUUGGACCUCUUACCUAACACUAUACACAAAAAGUAACUCAAUAUGGAUCAAAGACACAAACUUAAGAGCUAAAACUUUAAAAUUCUUCUAAGAAAACAUAGGGGAAAAUCUUCUUGACAUUGAAUUUUGCAACAAUGUCAUGGAUUUGACACCAAAAGUGCAGGUAACGAAAGGAAAAAUAAACUCAACUCCAUUGAAAUUUAGUCGAAGUUUUUAAAUUUGCUGGCAUAAAGUUUUUUGAUAAUAAUCUCUUUUUAUCUUCUUACAUCUGCAGGAUCUUUUUUGUUGCUCAUAUUGGUGACUUAUUUUGUUUUUCUUUUAUCUGGGAGUUUAUCAAUUUCAUCAUUUUUUUAAUAACCAAACUUUUUGCUUUGUUGAUCUUCUCUGUUGUAUAUCUGCUUUGUAUUUCAUUGAUUUGGAUUCCUAUUUUUAUUAUUUCCUUCUUUCUUUUUUCCUUGGGUUUAAGUUGCUGUUCAAAUUUAGAUAACUGUCUUUAAACUAUUUUCUCGUGUAACGUAUGCAUUUAAAGGUAUAAAUUUCUUUCUAAUCACUGCUUUGCCUAUUUGCCUCAGGCAUUUGUAUGCAGUAUUUUGAUUUUCAUUCUGUUCAAAGUAUUUUCUAUUCUCCUGUGUGGUUUCUUCCUUGAGCCACGGGUUAUUUACAAGUGUUCUGUUUCACAUCCAAACGUUUGGGGUUUCUAAGAAUCUUUCUCUUGUUCAUUUCUAGUUUAAUUCCACUUUGGUCAGAGAUCACACCCGGCAUGAUUUCACCUUUGGAAGUUUGUUAAGACUUGCUUUAUGGCCCAGCACAUGUUCUAUUUUGGUAACUAUGCCCUCGAAAAGGAAGUGUGUUCGCCCCUUGCGGGGUGCAGCCCUCUGUAACUGUUUAUUAAGUCAAGUUGAUUCAUUCUGCUGUUCAUAUUUUCUAUAUACUUUUACAUCUUUCAUCUCCUUUUUCUAUCAGUUGCUGAGAGAUUUGUUAAAAAUCUCCAGCUAUGACUACAGACUUGCCUAUUUGUCUCUUUUAUUCUGGAAAUACUCUAUUUCGUGUAUUGUGUAGCUCUGUUAUUAGGUGCAUACACAUUUACGAUUGUUACAUCUUCCGUUGAAUUAACCCUUUCAUCAUUAUGAAACGUCGCUCUUUACUUCCCUUACUACCACUUCUGGCUCUAAGGUCUAUUUUGUUUGAUAUCAAUAGAGCCACACCUUUUAUUUGGUGAGUAUUUGCAUGAUAUAACUUUUAUCAUCUUUUUAUUUUUUACCUUUCUAUGUCCUAUAUUUAAAGCGUAUUUUCUAAAUACCUAAUAGCUUUAGAACCAAACUGUUCAGGGCGGGUAGAGAAAGAAAGGGAAUGGAAAUAGAAGCAUGAAUUGCCCUUAUUUUUGAAGAAAAUUUAUGCUGGCUACACAACUUUUCUUUCUGCAAAGAUGCCAUCCCAUCGUCUUCUGGUUUCAUAGUUACAGUUGACAAAUCAGCCACAACUCAUCGUUGCUACUUUGAAUGUCACGUGUUUUAUCUUUCCGGCUGCUUGUCUUAUUUUCAGUUUGACGAUGAUGUGCCUAUGUGUGAUUUUCUUUGUAUUUCUUUUCCUUGGGAUUGACUGAGCUUUGCGAAUCCGUGAGUUGAUGUCUUUAUCUGAUUUUGAAAAUUCUUGUCCUUUAGCUCUUCAGAUUUCACUUGCCAUAUUCUCUUUCCCUCCUCUGUUUCUGGGAAUCCAGUGAUAUGUAUGUUAGACCUCUGACUGUGUUCCAUUAUCUGUCUUAUACUCUGAUCUGUUAUUUUAAUUGUUUUCUCUCUCUGUGCUUCAGUUUGAGUAUUUUCUAUAUACCUGUCUUUCAGCUCACUAAUCCUAUCAUCUCCUGUGUUUAGGUUGCCAUUAAAUCCACUCAAUGAAUUCUUAAUCUCAGAUACCAAAUUUUUUCAGUUCUUGAAUGUCUAUUUGAAUAUUUAUAAAUUCCAAUUCUCUGUAGAAAUUCUCCAUCUUUUCAUUCAUUUUGUCCAUCUUUUUCUACAUAUUCUUUUUGUAUUCUAUUAUACUAGUUAUUUUUAAAUCCUUGUCUGAUAACUCCAAUAGCUAAGUUAUCUGUGUUGUGAUGGUAGGUUGAACACCUCCAGCCAAAAUUUGGUUCAAACGUCAAGAUUGAUGACAUCACACACCAAGAGAAGAUGAAAAGAUUUAUUAUUUACAUAUGAAGAUUUCUGGGGAGAGCCUGGAAACUUCCCAAGGAGGUCUAAAAAUGGGUUAAGAGAGCAGAGAAAGGAGACUGGCUUUGGGGUCAUUAGAGGGCAGUGUUAAAAUUAAUAAAGGAAAUCUCAAAUAAAAUUGGAGUCAGGAAGGCCUGUAGAGGGAGCUCUCAUGUCCUACCACUCAAUUACCCCAAACAGGAAGAUGUCAAUUACAGACCCCAACAGGAAGAAGCAUCAGUUACCAACCUCAAGAGGAAGAGAUGUGCCUUACAAUCCCAAACAGGAAGUGCAACUACUUUACUACUCCAGUAAGGGGAAGACUUCCUUCUUGCCCAGCAAUAAGCACAACCAAUGGAAAACACUGCAGCCCAGUCAAUGAGAAUCUGUUGUCACUUGAACUAUCUCUCUAUUGCCAGAUGAAAUGCUACCUGAUUCAUGAAUUAUUUAAUAAAGUCAAUUCAAUCUUCGAAUUUGCUCAGUUGAAUUUUGUUUUUUAACAGUGGGGCUGGGGGUAAGAGUUCCCAUGUGUAGACCAGGGCUUGCAAGAUUUGACCUUCCUGCUAAUGCUAAUGAAGGGAGUACCUGGGCUUAUUUAUGAGCUGGACAGAUCUAAGACAGAAG
rnacentral:lncRNA from 1 species